UGGGUAGUGAGGAACUGAAGGUGCUGGUUCCGUUCCUGCUGCGUUUUGGGCCAGGGCCUCUGAUCUUGAAUGUGUGUGGACACUCACUCUGCCAAAGUACUGCAAAGCAGAUCAACAGCUGCUUUGAGCACCUCUGGAUCUCCGCAACGCACACAGGCACUGCAGGUGAUUCAGGAAUUGGAUGAGUCUCUGUGGCUUGUUUUGCCCUGAAGAGCAGAAGGCUUCGGUCCCAGCUGGUGUUGCCAAAGCAGCAUACUAAUUCCAUGCCAUGGUCCUGGGUCAAGAUCUGCACAAUCUGAUUGGCCAUAUCACCUCGGAUGGCAAGGGAACGGAAGUGGUCAAAGUCAUGGAGGCCCAGCUUCCGGAGACGCCUUGCAGCUGCCCGGUAUCUCAGACCUCAGGGAGGAAGAAAGGAUUCCAAGGGCAUAGCCAGCAUUCCUUACCAGGAAGGUGAAGAAAGUGUGGCUGGAAACAACCCAGAUGUCCAACAAUAGUAGCAUGGAUGAAGAAAUAUGGUAUAUUCAUUAAGAUGGAAUACUAAAUAGCAGUUAAAAAUGAAGGAAUUCAGCUCAGUGCAUCAACAUGGAUGACUCUUACAAAUAUACAAUGUUCAGCAAAAAAGCAAGACACACGCAAAAAAUACAUGGCAAGCUUCCAUUUAUAUGAAUUUCAAAAAUGGAUAAGAUUAAAUUACAUUGUUUAGGGAUACAAAAAUAGUGAGCUAUAAAGAAAAUCAAGGAAAUAAGCAUAAGUCAGGCUAGUUGUUCCCUCUGGGUGGAGGGGGGCGGUUUAGGAACAGAGAAAGUUAAGGGACUUUUGGGGUUCUGACAAUGUUUUAUUCUUGAUCUGGACAAUGGCCAUAAAGGUGUCUGCUUUAUAAUAGUUCAUAAAGUGUAAAUUUAUGUCUUAUGCACUUUUCUGUAUGUGUGGCAUAGUUCACAAAAAAUUCUUUUAAAAAGUCAUGCUGUUGUUGUAGAUUAAGGACCAUAUUUAGAGUAGGAAGGUCCUAUACUACGCUGCUUAAUUUUCUCCCCAUUUCUAUACUUAUUUCUUUGCUGACUCCCUCUUCCUGUCUGAUCUUGGGUGUGCCAGUUUCACUAGUCAUUUGUCACUUCAUCCUUCCUCUACCACAUCUCUUCACCUUCUCCAACCUCAACUCCCCAAACCCAGAAUACCCUGGAAGCUUGAAAAAUAAAAUAUAGACUCAAGGGCUCAAUCACUCAAGAUCCUGAUUCAGUAGGGCUACAGUGGGGCCUGGGAGUUUUAAAAAUGUAAAUAAAGCACCCUAUAAAUUAUGGUACAUGCAUACAAUUUUGAAGCUGCUAAAAAGAAUGUCGUGACAUGAGUGAUCUCCAAAUUAUUAAGUGAAAAGCAAGGUGCCAAAUAGUGUGCUAUUAUUUGUAAAGGUAAAAGAGGUAAUAUUUAUACAUACAUAAAUGCCUACAUACACACAGGAUACAUACCCAAGAAAUUAUAAAUAGCGGUUGCCAAUGUGUAGGGGGGAAGGAGAAUUUAGGGUCAGGAAUAGAGACUUACUUUUUGUUACAUGCCUGUGAUUUGCAAUCAUAGGGUCAGAAUAUCUGCUCCUGUAGGAUAUGGUAGUAGUUACAGAUAGGUGUCAAGGGUGGCAUGUCGAUAUUUUGAAUGUAAUUUCACUACAAUCACUCUACGCCUAAGAAUACUUUGAGGUAAGAAGACGUGGCAAUGCCUUCCUCCGCCAAGGAGCUGUAUCCUCCCUCUCAACCCUCUCCACUGUACUCAGUCAACUCACUGCUUUUAAAUAAAUAUCUACUUGGCUCCAGGAUGCAUCCUACACCGUAUGGCACACGAAUCUUAAUUCCAGGCGUGAUUCCGUCACCCCUGGCUCUUCUCUCCCAGUAACCCAAUCCCAACCCUACGCUCCCAAAGGCGGGUGUCCGGACGCCCCCUCUCUGCAGCCAGGUCGCCAGCCACGCUAUACAGGAGGCAAGCGCCGGAAGCCCCAAAACGGUGGCCCUUCCCAUCCGAGGUUUGGCCGUGAGGCGGCGAACGCACAAGCGGGGACGCAGGAAUUCGGAACGGAGUUUAAACUCAUUUGGGGAAAGUGGUGAUGGGUGUGAUGCCACGCCCAAACCACAGCCCCAGCGAACGCAGAGGAAGCCAACCGCUCGGCUCCCCGACCUCCGACCCCGCCCCCGUCACUCACCCCAGA